rnacentral:rRNA from 1 species
AUGCAGGACAUAUCUAUACAUACCCUUAUGCAACAUUUGCAGAUGCUGGAAGGAAAUGGAGCUGCAAUCUUUGCACAUUGCUCAAUGAUGGGCUUUCCAUGGACACAAAUUGAAUUCUUAACCUUUGGCAGCACAUCACACUUCCACAAUUUUAAGUCUUCUUUGAGUCAACUUCAAAUGAUGGUGGUUGCCGAUUUGGACGAUGUUUUCUUGCCAUUGCCUGACGAUCUCUUGGUAAAUUUGGUUGAUUCUAGACAUGUUGUCGAGUCCUUUCUCGAUAGCUUGCCCAAAUAUGUUUCAGGACAACAUAAAUGUAGAAUCUGCUCUUGGUAUUGGCUGAUUAAGACUUCGAUGAGAUGA